rnacentral:rRNA from 1 species
CCUACGGGUGGCUGCAGUGGGGGAUAUUGCACAAUGGGGGAAACCCUGAUGCAGCGACGCCGCGUGUGGGAAGACGGUCCUCUGGAUUGUAAACCACUGUCCCCAGGGACGAAAAUGACGGUACCUGGGGAGGAAGCUCCGGCUAACUACGUGCCAGCAGCCGCGGUAAUACGUAGGGAGCGAGCGUUGUACGGAAUUACUGGGUGUAAAGGGAGCGUAGGCGGGGAUGCAAGUUGGGGGUCAAAACUACCGGCUCAACUGGUAGUCGCACCCCAAACUGCAGCUCUUGAGUGAAGUAGAGGCAGGCGGAAUUCCUAGUGUAGCGGUGAAAUGCGUAGAUAUUAGGAGGAACACCAGUGGCGAAGGCGGCCUGCUGGGCGUUUACUGACGCUGAGGCUCGAAAGUGUGGGGAGCAAACAGGAUUAGAUACCCCUGUAGUC